GCUAGCGUUGCUCGGAAUUACUGGGCGUAAAGCGCACGUAGGCGGCUUCUUAAGUCGGUGGUGAAAUCCUGGAGCUCAACUCCAGAACUGCCUUCGAUACUGGGAAGCUCGAGUCCGGGAGAGGUGAGUGGAACUGCGAGUGUAGAGGUGAAAUUCGUAGAUAUUCGCAAGAACACCAGUGGCGAAGGCGGCUCACUGGCCCGGUACUGACGCUGAGGUGCGAAAGCGUGGGGAGCAAACAGG
rnacentral:rRNA from 1 species